AUGUGGAGGCUGAAGGUCGGGGAGGGCGGCGGGCCGUGGCUGCGUUCAACCAACGGCUUCCUCGGCCGCGCGGUAUGGGAGUUCGACGCCGGCGCCGGCACGCCGGAGGAGCGCGCCGAGGUGGAGAGGAUGCGUCAGGAGUUCACUGAUGGCCGGUUCCGGCGCAGAGAGUCCGCCGACCUCCUCAUGCGCUUGCAGUAUGCGAAGCAGAACAAGCACCAAGGGAGGGAGCUUCGCCUACCACCCAUGGAGAAGCUCGAAGAGAAAGACGUGGUCACCGAGGAAACAGUGCUGGCGUCGCUGAGGCGAGCCCUCGAUCAGUUCUCUUCGCUGCAAUCAGACGACGGCUGUUGGCCCGGAGACUUCAGUGGGAUAAUGUUUGUCAUGCCUGGUUUGAUAUUUGCGCUCUAUGUCACUAGAUCACUCAACACCGUGGUGACGGCGGAACAUCGACGAGAGAUAUGCCGCUACAUCUACAAUCAUCAGAACGAAGAUGGGGGAUGGGGCACCCUAAUUUUAGGGUCGAGCAGCAUGUUUGGUACAUGCUCAAACUACAUCACCUUGAGGCUCCUCGGAGAGGAGCUAGAUGGCAACGAGGUGUUGGCUAAGGGGCGUGGCUGGAUAUUGUCCCAUGGGAGCGCUACUCUUGUGCCACAGUGGGGGAAGAUAUGGCUCUCGAUACUUGGGGUGUAUGACUGGUCCGGGAACAACCCGAUCUUCCCUGAACUAUGGCUCGUGCCGCAGUUUCUCCCGUUUCAUCCAGGGAAAUUCUGGUGCCUAUGCCGUAUGAUCUACCUGCCCAUGGCUUAUCUCUACGGGAAGAAAUUCGUCGGGCCCAUCACGCCAAUAAUUUUGGCGCUGCGGGAGGAGAUCUACGACAUACCGUACGACAAGAUUAACUGGGGCAUGUCACGUAAUGCAUGUGCUAAGGAGGACCUUGUGUGUCCACGCACAGUGUUGCAGAACGCCGUGUGGGCCUCGCUGUACAAGUGCGUGGAGCCGGUGCUGAGCAGCUGGCCGAUCAACAAGCUCAGGGACAGGGCUCUGAAGAACCUCAUGGAGCACAUUCACUACGAGGACGACAACACGCAGUACCUCUGCAUAUGCGCCGUCAACAAGGCUCUGAACAUGGUCUGCUGCUGGGCGGAAGAUCCAAGCUCGGAAGCGUUCAAGCGGCAUCUUGCCAGGAUACCUGAUUUCCUGUGGAUCUCGGAAGAUGGCAUGAAGGCGCAGGUAUAUGAUAGUGUUCAGAGCUGGGAGACAUCAUUCAUUAUUCAAGCAUAUUGCGCUACAGAUCUCGUGAGCGAGUAUGGCCCGACUCUCGAGAGAGCCAAUGCAUUCAUGAAAAAAUCGCAGGUUCUUUGGAAUCAUCCUGGCGACCAAAGUUAUUCACAUCGCCACCGAUCCAAGGGUUCAUGGACUCUUUCAAGUGCAGACAAUGGAUGGGCUGUAUCUGACACUACCGCAGAAGCACUUAAGGCCGUACUGCUGCUCUCGAAGAUCUCUAACAACAUCGUUGCCGAUCCAGUAGAAAGAGAAAGAGUGCAUGAUGCUGUUGAUUGCCUUUUAUCUUUUGUGAAUAAAGAUGGGACCUUUUCUACAUAUGAAUGUAAAAGAACUUCUGCUUGGAUAGAGAUCCUCAAUCCCUGUGAGAGUUUUCCAAACAUAAUUGUCGAUUAUCCAUAUCCAGAAUGCACUUCCUCGGUGCUUCAAGCUCUUAUCUUGUUCAAAGAACUACAUUACAGCUACCGUACUAAGGAGAUAGAAAAGUGUAUCAAAGAUGCGGCAACAUUUAUUGAGAGCAGACAAGGAGAAGACGGUUCAUGGUUAGGUACUUGGGGCGUGUGUUUCACCUAUGGAGCCUUCUUUUCGGUUAAAGCAUUAGUUGCUACAGGAAGAACAUAUGAGAACAGUUCUUCCAUCAGGAAAGGAUGCCACUUUAUAUUGUCGAAGCAGCUCAGUACUGGUGGAUGGGGAGAAAGCCAUGUAUCUAAUGAAACAAAGGUGUAUGUCAACAUCGAAGGUGACCGUGCUCAUGCAGUCAAUACUGCUUGGGCGAUGCUGACUUUAAUAUAUGCCGGACAGAUGCAAAGAGAUCCAGCACCGCUGCACCGUGCCGCAAAAGAACUGAUCAAUAUGCAGAUGGAUACAGGAGAAUUUCCACAGCAAGAACACGUCGGAUGCUUCAACUGCUCCCUUUUCUUCAAUUACCCAAACUACCGCAACCUGUUUCCCAUUUGGGCUCUCGGGGAGUACCGGCGUCACCUUUACGCGGAAAGGACAGACGGGUGCGCGCCGUCGUCAUGA
rnacentral:rRNA from 1 species